CCAAAAUAUUGAAAAAAGAUGAAUUUUCCAAAAAUGUGACUUAGGCCCCUUGUGUUCUCAUCCGGCGAUAUGCAAGUCUAAUAAUGGUACAUGUUUUUAAAUCUAGUGCGUUGUAUUUGGGUGUAAAAUACAGUGUUGAGAAUGAAUGAAAUAAUGUCACCAUUACAAACAUAUUGUUGAAAUUUUUGACUCUAUAUAGCCUAUAUGUAGAUGUAUGAUAAUAUCACUCUAUGCUUUAAAAUCAUGAAGAGUUAGAAUCAAUACGUAUUACUUAUGUCUAGCCCUAGUGGAUUGGGAUAUAACUUAGUUUAGUAAAAUUCGUCUAUUUCAAUAUGACCUUGAUUGUAAGUCCAUUCCAAUGAUGAACUCUGGAUCAUCACUAGAUCACAGUUCGAAUGGAAGCUUUAAUUACACAAAAGCAAUGGCAGUGAUGGACUCUUUGUUACAGGAUUUUCAAUCUACAAAUACCAUUAGGUAGCAGAAAAGCUUGACAUUCAUCAGGUAGCAUGCCUACUGCUCCUGCCAAAUGAAGAAUUCCCAUUCAAAAAACAAAAAAGGCGUAACUUGACUUUCUCAUUACGACUGUAUUUAUUUGCGACCUUUAGUAGUCAAUUUCGCCGAAUAUUUACUGUUUUAAUAAAUUGUUUAAAUCUU